AGAGUUUGAUCCUGGCUCAGACCUGAUCGCUGGCGGCAGGCUUAACUACUCCUUAACCCAGUGAGCCCGGAAGGGUAGCUUGCUACCUAACCUAGACCUUACCACUAGAAAGGGUGAGUAAUGCUUAGGAAUCUGCCUAUUAGUGGGGGACAACAUUCCGAAAGGAAUGCUAAUACCGCAUACGCCCUACGGGGGAAAGCAGGGGAUCUUCGGACCUUGCGCUAAUAGAUGAGCCUAAGUCAGAUUAGCUAGUUGGUGGGGUAAAGGCCUACCAAGGCGACGAUCUGUAGCGGGUCUGAGAGGAUGAUCCGCCACACUGGGACUGAGACACGGCCCAGACUCCUACGGGAGGCAGCAGUGGGGAAUAUUGGACAAUGGGCGCAAGCCUGAUCCAGCCAUGCCGCGUGUGUGAAGAAGGCCUUUUGGUUGUAAAGCACUUUAAGCGAGGAGGAGGCUACUGGUAUUAAUACUACCGGAUAGUGGACGUUACUCGCAGAAUAAGCACCGGCUAACUCUGUGCCAGCAGCCGCGGUAAUACAGAGGGUGCGAGCGUUAAUCGGAUUUACUGGGCGUAAAGCGUGCGUAGGCGGCUUUUUAAGUCGGAUGUGAAAUCCCUGAGCUUAACUUAGGAAUUGCAUUCGAUACUGGGAAGCUAGAGUAUGGGAGAGGAUGGUAGAAUUCCAGGUGUAGCGGUGAAAUGCGUAGAGAUCUGGAGGAAUACCGAUGGCGAAGGCAGCCAUCUGGCCUAAUACUGACGCUGAGGUACGAAAGCAUGGGGAGCAAACAGGAUUAGAUACCCUGGUAGUCCAUGCCGUAAACGAUGUCUACUAGCCGUUGGGGCCUUGAGGCUUUAGUGGCGCAGCUAACGCGAUAAGUAGACCGCCUGGGGAGUACGGUCGCAAGACUAAAACUCAAAUGAAUU
rnacentral:rRNA from 1 species